AUAUAAUUUAUUUUUUGAAUAUGUGAGCCAGCUCCGCUUUACUUUUUCCCCAUUUACUAGGUGUCUGUAUGUGUAAUGUUAGUGGAAGCUUCGGCCAUCGUGUCUUUUUGGGAAUGUGAAUGUGUCCUUUAAAGGCAGUGGCCCUCUUAAUACCUGUUCAGUCCUUUCUGAGUCUGACAGGAAACAGGGACACUCAGCUGGGUCAACUGGCGGAGCUGCUGAUCCCUGCUCCAAACUGGAUGCUGAAGAAGACACAUCAAUCUCCAUGACCAAAGAUGAAGGACCUAUAGGGAAAUUAAAAUAAUAUUUUUGGACAAAUUUAUUCAUCUCAGAAUAUUCUGCAGUACACUGAUCAAUUAUAAAGGUUGUUCUGUUGUUAACUUACCAGGUACAGCUGAGGUUGCAGAGAGGACAGUGGGCACAGUGGAUGGAGCAGAGGACAGAGAUGGACCUGAGAUGAAAAACAUGUCCCUUGUCAUAUGAUUAUAUCUUAUAUUAGUAUAUCUUAAUGAGAUCAUUUGACUAGAAAUGAAAUAUAUAUGGUGACAGUGUUUGAUCACCUGAUUCAUCAGCCUUGGCUGCUCCUGAGGAGGUGGAUUGCCCCUGGGCUGAGUCAGUGCCUCCUCCUAAAUACUUUAACAGUGCUCCUGGGGAAGUUUCAUAUAACGUAUGAGCACAAUAGGGAGUUGAUGUAAAAGGAAUAUGUUUAUUUACUCACAUAAAUUACUGUGCUCUGCAGCAAACAAUUGCAAACAACAUACCUCAAACUAUAAGUUAACUAAAUGAAUUCAUUAAUGUAAAACCAUAUUGCUAGCAAACGUCACCGCGUUUGUAAUUAACGUUAGUUAUUAAACAUUUGCUAUCAAACGUUGUUAUCAAAAACGUUGUUUUGAUGCCAAAAGUGACCCAGAAUAAUAUAAAUACACUGAGAAUGUACUUAUUCAAAGUAUUACACAAACACAACAACGUUAGCUUGAAUAGUAAACUAUCUAACCUAGUAAGACGUUUUGAACUAAUGUUAGCUAGCUCAACUGUUAUUGGAGUCCAGAGCAAAAAGGGGCGGGGCUUAAGAAGGAUUAACUGGGACACAGCUAAUAUUUAUAGUACGGUCUCCUAAAGUAAGUUGGUAAAAAGGCAAAGUGAGGACGGUGAACAUAAAUGUAUGUGAUUUUUGGGGUUUCCAGCUAAUUCCUGUGCUUCUUUGUUGACAUGAUACAUUUUUUGUUAAAUGUUCUAUAUAUUAAAUUCACUGUUGCACGAGAGCGAACUUUUGCUCUAAUUGUGCGCUUACGGACGGAAUGUUCGGGGCUAGAGUGUGUGACAUCAUCGUUAGAGUGUACAGAAGCUGUAAAAUCUACCAAUAAAAUGUAUCUUUAACUUGCUCUCAUUCCCACAAAUGUACCUCUUUAGACAUAAUUUCUACAUCAAAAUGUAGGAAAUGUUGUGCUGUUUCUACACAGAUUUAAACUUUUGACGCUCUGAGCUCCGGACCAACAAGAGUUGCAACCAUCUGCCCCAUAAGCUCCAAUGUUAAUUUACAGCAGAAAUCUCUGGAGUAAGAUCACGUUUUUAACUUUAUCCACACAAAUGAUGUAUGUGUAUGUUCAGCAAAGCCUUGGGAUGCUGACAGUCACAUUAUAUCAACAGUACGGCCGACCGUUUUUGAAUUACGGCAUCUUGUUUGAGUAGUAGUUUCAGGGUUUUCUCAGUGGUCCUCUGCUCUGAUUGGUGGAUUGAUGAUCAGAAUCAGAACACACACAUAUAUAAAUACACUAUAAACAUAUAAAGAUAGACGAUGUGUCUCCACUUCCUCCAACUGUUCAAAAAUAAAAGCCCUAUACAGCAUCUGUAUCUUAAUGGUAACUCAGAAAGGGGCUUUCAAAAUAAAAACCCCAUAGACUAUCAAAAUAAAGCCCCCAGUGGCUUAUAAGCAGGACGCAAAGGAUGCAACCAUUUUUUCAAAAUAAAAUCCCCAGAAAGUAAAUGUUAACUGGAGGAUGAGGCUGUUCUUUUAAACCAUCUUAACAGGAAACUACACAAUAACUGUAUCUUCUCUCUCUCAGGAUACAUGUCGUACCUAUCAUUCAGGCACGCUCAAAGGUCUUUGGAAGUGUUUUUGUUGUUGUUCUUAUCAUACAAAUAUGUGCUCUCUGCACUUCAUACCUACAAACCACAAUCUCACCUGUUGUUUUAUUCUCAGUGAAGCAGACUUCUUAUGUUGUCUCAUUGUUUAAAGUCUUUUAACCUGCAGAACCAGUUUGCAGUUGUGUGUUCCACAUUAUCUGUUAAAUAGAUUGUGGCCAUAUCUAAUCCCAGUGUGAACAGGUCACAGUCCCGAACUGACUUGAACAACGAAUGAAGAUCUAGCAUCUGAUUUGGACCACAUAUGAAAGUGGUCUCAAUCAGAAUUGAAAAGAUCAGAUUCAAUGUGAUUUGUGCCGUUUACGCUGUCAUUAAAAGAUGUUAUCUUGUGAGGAAAUUCAUGUAUUUUGUCUUAUAAAAUGUGUUCUCACUGUAUAAAUGUAUUAUUUCUAUUGUUGGAUGGUAGAAUAAUAUUGUCUGUUGUAUGUGAACCUGUUGGAUUCUCCACUAAUCAGCGCUGGAUCAUUUAAAGACACACCUGAUGGUUAAAUUGAACUGUCUCAAUCAUUGUGUGUGUGUGUGUGUGUGUGUGUGUGUGUGUGUGUGUGCGUGUGCGUGUGUGUGUGUGUGUGUGCUGAAAUAUUUUGGUCAGUUGAAGACUUUAGCGAACUCGAUCUAUAAGCUAAAGUUAGUGUUUCAUUUCUAAAGUU
rnacentral:lncRNA from 15 species